CCUGGUGGCUCAGAGGUUAAAGCGUCUGCCUGCAAUGCUGGAGACCUGGGUUUGAUUCCUGGGUCAGGA
rnacentral:tRNA from 1 species